AAAUCCUUCGAUUCGAUGUUAAUUGAUGCAAUUGAUUGUUUAAAGUAGUGUAAUAAGGAGUCUAUUAAUGUUCUGGGUUGUAAAAACAUAGACCCAUAACAUCAAAGUGCACGAAUUUGAAGAUUUGAGCAAGUUGGAAAAAUAGAAUUCUGUUAUUUUUCACCAAAUGUCAGAGGCUAUAACUCUUUGGUCGAUCUCGAGUUUUGUUGUUUAAAAGUUGUUAUAGGUAGCCUGAUAUGUGGUCUUUAAUCUCCAAUAGGAAUAAAGUUCAUAGCUAUUGUAGAUCGGGAUUUAUAAGCGGUCAAAGUGGGUUGACUGGCAUUGACCGGCUGUUCUUCAAACCCAAAAAAUAUUCCAAGUGUCCAGAAAAUAUUUUUUUGGCAAAUGUCAGGCCUUAUAUCUCGGUUAUCUUUAAUGUGUUUUGUGUUCUAAAGGUUGUUAUGUGUAGCUUGUUAUGUGUAUUUAACCUCCAAAAAGAAUCAGGUCCAUAUAUAUUACGUAUUAAGAGUUAUUUAAGGUCAAAGUUGGUUGACCGGCAUUGACCGAAAAAAUUCUGGGCAGCCCAGAAUUUUCUAAGUGUUGAUUUUUCUGACAAGGUUUGACCAUACUUUAUCUGCUUGCUUUCUUGUUGUUAUGAUGAUGUUAAGUGUUAGAAUUGUAGUCCUACAUGUUGUCUACACACUGGAAUUGAUAUAUCACGUAAACGUUGCACGAUCAUCAAGUUAUAGAGGUCCAAAGUAGGCACUUCGAACUGUUCUUUGUGAAGAACAGAUUUGGAAGCUACUUUGAUAGAUUAUUUCUCCCAGAUCUGAUGUUUUUUUAAACGUUAUGAUUGUUUGUAAUUGUAGUCUGGUAUUUCCUUUACAAGACCCAAUUUAUAGAUUGUCCAAAUUCGUUAAGAUGAGAGAGUUAUUCACGGUCAAAGUAGCCCACUCGGUUCUGCCUUAUGAAGAUCUGGGUAGGCUCAAGAACACCUAUAGCGACGGUUCUGUCACUAUAGGGGCCUUUAGCGAC
rnacentral:lncRNA from 1 species